rnacentral:lncRNA from 1 species
GGACAUGGCAUGGAACGUGUGUGCGGAAAAGUUCGAACAUCAAGUGACCCUUGAAGCGCUACAACACUUAAAUGCACUCUUUCAGGAGUAUGAGAAAAGAGGAAGACAGCUGUUGGAUAUGGAGACUUUCAAAUGCAUAAUGAAGCAGAGCAUGAGGUUACAGAAUAAAAGUACUGAACAAAUAGAACAACUUUUCAUGAAAAUAGACUAUGAAGCAGUGGGCAGAAUUCAUUGGGAUGGCUUCUGCACAUAUCUGCAGUUAGCAUAUUCGGAGCAAGCUGAUGCUUUGGCUCGACAGAAAGAGGUUUCCUUCCAGCUGCCUGCUGUGCUGCAGGGACUGUCGUACGGGGGACCCGUGCUGCGCAUUCUCUCUGUGCCUGAUGACACCUUAAUCAUGAUCAGAGAAGAUGGAGCCAUUUAUUUCUGGUCCCUGCAGCUGAAGUUGAAAAGAAGAAAGCGAGUUUUUGACAAGCCCAUCAUUCGGAAGCGCCGGUGGGUGACGGAUGCCACCAGCAUGCCACAGUACAACAAACUGAUCCUAGGAACUGGAAACCGCGAAAUCCAGCUGUAUGAGUUCUCUAACUUGGAGCCUUACUGUCAGAUUGGUGGCCUGGAAGCUGUCCCUCUGAAACUGGACUACUGGUACGAGGAUCCUGACAAGUGCCUGAUUAUCUAUGGUGAUGACCAGGCUGAAAAAAAACUUAAAAUGAAGGUAGCCUUAAAGAGUUCAUGUUGCCAUCUAGCAAAGUGAUGAGUUGUGCUCCAGAGGGAAAUAAGUUCAGAAGCAUUGGCUGUGCCUGUCUCACCUAACAUCGCCUCACCAUCCUUCAUCGGCUUUCAGAGUCUUCACGGUUUGGAAUCAGGGAUGAGCAUAAGGGAAGCUACAUUGGCAACAUGGCGACAAAAGCAAGGGAAACUCAGUUCAUCAUCAUCAUAUCACAAAGGCUGUCUCCAUGAGCGACUUUCCUUGGGCUUCUUCUUUUGUUGCAUCUAGCCCAGGCUUGUGCACUUGAAGAUCAUUUGAUAAUAUUCAUCAGUGUUAUGUUCAGCAUGCUAACCGGUUUCUUAAGAAGGGCAGUA